rnacentral:rRNA from 2 species
ACCCGUGUUGCCCGAACCUAUGUUGCCUCGGCGGGCCCCGCGCCCGCCGACGGCCCCCCUGAACGCUGUCUGAAGUUGCAGUCUGAGACCUAUAACGAAAUUAGUUAAAACUUUCAACAACGGAUCUCUUGGUUCCGGCAUCGAUGAAGAACGCAGCGAAAUGCGAUAACUAAUGUGAAUUGCAGAAUUCAGUGAAUCAUCGAGUCUUUGAACGCACAUUGCGCCCUCUGGUAUUCCGGAGGGCAUGCCUGUCCGAGCGUCAUUGCUGCCCUCAAGCCCGGCUUGUGUGUUGGGCCCCGUCCCCCCCGCCGGGGGGACGGGCCCGAAAGGCAGCGGCGGCACCGCGUCCGGUCCUCGAGCGUAUGGGGCUUCGUCACCCGCUCUAGUAGGCCCGGCCGGCGCCAGCCGACCCCCAACCUUUAAUUAUCUCAGGUUGACCUCGGAUCAGGUAGGGAUACCCGCUGAACUUAAGCAUAUCAAU